CAGGGCAGUAAGUGUCCCGAGUGGUUGCUAUUUUUCACACUAAGGAACUUAGCGCCUGAUGGUCCUGGCUUGGACAUAUAUAGAUGGAGUUCCCAUUGCCAUGCAUUAUACGGGUGACAGACUACAACGGUUGUUAAAACGGAGUUAAAAAUCAUCAUUUGUGUUCUACUGAUGAAACAAAGUCACCUACAUCUUGGAUGCCCUGGGGUCCGGGUUGAACGUGAAGUGGAUUUACUUUCAGGCGGCAUGUGGCGUGAGAGUCUGAGGUCAGCUGUCUCCUGCUACCCCUCUGGCAAGGUCACAGCAGCCAGACUUCCGUACUGAUAUGCCUGACCAUUGGAGCAACCAUCCAUAAUCUAAAGAACUUGAGGAAGAGGCCAAAAACCUGUCAGUACGACACUGUGCUUCAAGCUGUGGUGCUGAGGAUGCUAUGGGGAACAAACCGAGGGAACCUAAAAGAGUGAACAAGAUAUUUUGAAAACAAGUUUUGAGUUAUAGUCUUCGAUUUGUACCUGGUAAUGUUUUGUUGUCGUUAAGUCUUUGUUUACAGAUAUUAUAUCUGAAAAAUAUUUCUGUUUUUAUGUGUAUGUCAAAUGUCCGUUAAAUGAAUCUUAAUUUCUGAACAUAUUAUGCAUUUAAAAUAAAUGUAAAGUAUUCAGUUAAAAUUAAUUUGACGUACAAACUUUGAAAACAAAAUUCAUGUAUUUAUUAUACAGUUUGGUAAAUGGAAAAGCAACUAUUUCAUUGGCAUUCAUUUUAUACUGUGAAGCUUUUUUGAAUGAAUAGAAUUUAAACCAAUUUAUUAAAUAUUAGUUUUGCCAGGAAUUUAUUUAUUUCAAGCAAAUAUGUGAGCAUGUUAAUGUAAUUGUAAAAAGGUAUGAUAAUACAAUGUGUAAUGUCAAAAAUGUUUUAAAUUAAAUGGAAAUAGCUAUUUUUAUUAGUCAUAUCAGACUUUUGGUCUAUAUAUAAAGCCGAGAGGAAAAAAAAAAAAAAAAAAAAAAAGAUGUGCACGUGUAAAUCAUUUAUCAAAUAAUAAAUACUGCAAAAUUCCAUAGAAAAAAUAAGAAAUGUCAGUUUUGAUUUCAUAUUGGUUUUAAGUAAUAAUUUAUCGAGACUCUAAAUAAAUAAUUUAUUGAGACUGUUAUUGACUCACUCUUAAAACCACAAUGAGACAAAAUGAUACUCCAUUGUCUCUGAAAUACGUGUGUAAAGCACAUCCAGGCUAGCACAGUGGCUCUCUUGAGACUCUGCUCUGACCCCUCUCUCACUCUUUUUACCUCACUGUCACAACUGACAGGCUUCUCCUCUUUCCAAGCAGCAAAACAGUGACACUGACUCUGUUCUGUCAAUUAUUUAUGUCUAAGUGCCCAGCCUUGAGUCGUAUGCCCUCUCCUCCCAUUGCACACUGUCUGGAGUUCAGUUUCUGAGAGACCCCUCCAUUCCAUUCAGCCUUCUGCACUUUGGCUGAUAAAAUUCAGUUGUUAUUUUUGAGAUGCUUUUACUUAUGCAGUAAGCCAUGAGAGGCUGUUCUUUACAGCAAUUUUGCCACAGGUAAAGGCUGUUCUUAGGCAUGACCUCAUGUUUCUAAAAUCUCCUCAAUUGAUACUCGAGUGGCUUAUUAUUAAACUUUUUUAAAUCAUGUAAAGUCACUUGUGAUGGUGACUGCAAAUAGUUAACAAUGGAAUCAAUAACUGAAACAAUCGGUACUGUACAAAGCACUAAAUGACUUGACCUGACAACUGACCUUAUAAAUCUUACCAUGGCAAAUAUAUUUUAUAAAAUUGUAUGUAGAAUUACUGUAGAAUUUACGCUAUGAAAAUAAUACAAAAGCAAUAAGGAAUCUUGUUUUAUAGUUAAGGCUGUGAAAUUACAAAAUCCCUUCUCAAACAGAGGUCAAGUCGUAAACAAGUUAACUCGCAUUAUGCGUGUUUUGAAGAUAAUUAAGUUAUGUGCGUGUUUUUAAGAUAAUUGGGUUGUGUUAAAGUAUUUGGUUUGGAUUACAAUGGUCCAAAAUUUUUGUAAACAAGGUUAAUUAAAAGUAGGAUAUUCUUAACCAGACACUUGCUUUUUGUAAGUAUUUGCUAUCAGAGGUGUAAAGUACUUGAGUAAAUGUAAUUAGUUACUGUACUUAAGUAUCUUUUUGGCUACUUUGUAGUUGUACUGAGUAUCAAAGAUAUUGGCAACUUUUACUCUAUACU